UACGUAGGGUGCAAGCGUUGUCCGGAAUUAUUGGGCGUAAAGAGCUCGUAGGCGGUCUGUCGCGUCGGCUGUGAAAUCCCGGAGCUCAACUCCGGGUCUGCAGUCGAUACGGGCAAACUGGAGUACUGCAGGGGAGACUGGAAUUCACGGUGUAGCAGUGAAAUGCGUAGAUAUCGUGAGGAAGACCAGUGGCGAAGGCGGGUCUCUGGACAGUUCCUGACGCUGAGGCGCGAAGGCCAGGGGAGCAAACGGG
rnacentral:rRNA from 1 species